CCUANGGGAGGCAGCAGUCGGGAAUCUUCCACAAUGGGCGAAAGCCUGAUGGAGCGACGCCGCGUGAGUGAUGAAGGUCUUCGGAUCGUAAAGCUCUGUUACCAGGGACGAAACAAGACGGUACCUGGGGAGGAAGCCACGGCUAACUACGUGCCAGCAGCCGCGGUAAUACGUAGGUGGCGAGCGUUGUCCGGAAUUAUUGGGCGUAAAGGGCGCGUAGGCGGUUGUUUAAGUCAGGUGUGAAAGCCCCCGGCUCAACUGGGGAGAGCCACCUGAUACUGGGCGACUAGAGUGCAGGAGAGGAAAGUGGAAUUCCAUGUGUAGCGGUGAAAUGCGUAGAUAUAUGGAGGAACACCAGUGGCGAAGGCGGCUUUCUGGACUGCAACUGACGCUGAGGCGCGAAAGCUGGGGGAGCAAACGGGAUUAGAUACCCUANUANUC
rnacentral:rRNA from 1 species